GCAAAUAGUCAUUUUACUUUGGCUGUUUAUGGCUACAAAGGAGAAGCUUGAAUGCGAGGAUUUCGUUGGGUUGAGUCUGGUUGACAGAGUGGAAAAAGGUUGAACUUGUGGCAAGAGCAUUUAAAGGGUAUGAAUUAGGUGCUGCAAAGAAAUUUACACAGGAACAAAUUUUUUAUAGUAUAAAUUAAUAUACCAACAAAGGC